AGAUUCUAUCUAUAAGUGGGAGAAGAGGUAUGUAUGUUUUGGAAGUUAACAUUUUCUUGAAUUGAAAAUGUAUUUCCAAUCAUACUUACCUCCCCUAACACUCUCCUGCCCUUCCUCUUUACUAAGAGUCAGUGUUAGAGACUGUGAAUUGAGUCAGUCUUGAAAAAGUGAUAACAUUAUGCGAAUGAAGUGCUUUUAUACAGCACCAGGAUAGAGGGCACAUUCAUGUAGAUGGAGAGUGUCAUGAGACAGAUAUCACCAAGGGCAAUUUAGUGGGGUAUAAAAGACUGGAGCAAGCGAGAAAAAAUCAGACCAAUGCUGGGCACAGAAAGAAACCCUGGCAGUCAAGUAAUAGCUGUAAGUGUCGGCAGAGGUAAGUAUUAUUGGAAACACAUUUUCAAUUUAGAAAAUUGUUAACUUCUGACUCAUAGCAUUAUUUAGAGUGGUCACUUGACAAUGUACAGUACAGACAGAAGUAUCUUAACGCUGACUUAUAGCAUUAUUAAAUAUAGGAAAGUUUAGAUGGUUAUAUGUGACAUCUACUGAGCUUUUACUUUUUUUAGGGAAUCAAACUCACUUCGUGAUUCUACCAGAUAAAAUCAUUAAACCAGACAGAUGGAUGUUGGAAGUCUCCAAGAGACACACAGAGGUAUUCAGGAACCAUUUAGAACCACCUUGGUAGAUACUGUAACAAGCCGAGUACAAUAUUAUGCCUGUAGCUGCUUUCAAAGUGUUCCUGUCUGCUCAUCCUACUGCAGACUAUCAUGAUGCUCUGAAUGGCAGGUAAAAUCGUUUGAAAGCUAAACAUACUAAGGUGAUAGCAGAAGCAUAAAAGGUUGACAGUUGCUUAAUUAAUGAUGAUGAGAAUGUGGCUUUAUUGAUAUUUACUGAAUUUACUCUCAGCGGGUAGUCUUUAGUACUAGCUAGUAUGGAGACUUGUGAAUGCUGUAUUUCACUUAAAAAUUUAUCAGGUAACAAAAGAAAACAUGUCUCGAAGUUGUCUCAAAUAUACAUCCAAAACCACCCUCCUUGGGAGUUUCCAGAUUGAACUUACUUUUAAUAUUCAACAAAUUCUAGUGUAAAGACACCUCUUGGAUCUUGAGGGGGGCGUUAAAAAUAAUUGUUUUAUAUUUUCAAAAAAAAGUGUUAAGAGCCCCAAACUCCAUUCAGUUUUGAAAAAUCUAGUAAAGUGUUUGAAGCCAAUAAUUGGAGCUUGUUUUGUUUGUAAAUAUUAACAAGAAUAUCAAACAUUAUUAUCUGAUAUUUCAGUAGUUAAUAAGGUAGUAAGUAUAAUGUUUUUUUGAUGUCAUUAUAUUUGUAUGAACUGAUAUUUUGUACAUACUUGUCAACACUUAAAGCACCAGAAAGGAGCAAAUAAUGUCUCAUUAGAUGGAAAGAAAUAAAAUUCUGAUGUGCACUUAGAAUUUGCUUAGGUAAUAGACCUCUAAAGAAUCUUUAGAGGCCAUAUGGAUGGCUUGUAGAAUAAUUUAGAAAAUAUCACUAUUUUUGUGGGAAGAGUAGUAUGUGUACAAGCAAGAGUGUUUACAAAUAUACUUGUUAUAAGACAUUAGUAUUAGGCCUAUCACAUUUUUAAACACUACAUUCUUGAUCUAGUCCCUUAGAGAUUUUCAAGAAUUAUAAGAGUGUAUAAUAAUAAUAAUAAUCCAAUCACGAUAUUUGUCACAAAAGGUAUAUACACUAUAACAGUUAAUAGUGUUGUUAUGUAAGUACUAAAAUAUAAUUAAGAUAAAUUAUUCUACAGUAUUACCUCUAGCUUAUUUUGGCAAUAAUAGGGAUCAUUAAGACCAGAUAAAAUUAGGAAAUUCAGCAUCUAUAUUAUCACAAUGGGAUUUUUUAAUAAAAGUGAAUGUGGUAGAAAAUAUCAUUGACUUGAGAAUACCCAUCUGAUGAUUCAGCACAUACUAAUUAUUAUAGAUUUUAAUUUUGUGGUAUAUUGUUUUAUACCAUUAAUUAUUUCUAGUCAGUUUGUUGUAUAGGGUUGCCUUCAUGAUUUACAAGUUACUUUUGAAACUAUUUAAAUUUACUUAUUUGUAUUUGGAAAUUCUCAACAGUUGAUCUCUGACUUAACCUGAGAAAAUUACAGUAGUUUCCUAAGUGGGCAGGAUCCCCACCAAAUCUGAAAAAGCAUAAAUGAAUUAUUUGCUGCAGCUAGAAAGGUUGGUGGCUGUUUGGGUGAAGAGUUACACAGUGUCAAAGUCCAUCAGUUUUAGGUGAUGACCAUCAGUCAAGCCAAGCAGAAAAAAACUUACAGGGGGAAGCUCACACUGUACUAUUGGGAGAGAACCAAUAUAGACAUUCUUUACUGGACAUCUUGAUAUUUUGUUGCCAUGAUCAUGGAUCCUGUUUUUGUUGAGGAAAGCCAUGUUGGGCUAUCUGCUGUGUCUCCCGGGAGGAAGCAAACCCUGGAUCUUAGCAUUGUAAGUCCUGAGACUGCUGUCCCAACGAGGGGACAACAUUUCUACUAAACAAAGCUUUGAUAAGUAGUCAAUUUUUAGUAAUGCUGUCAACAAAACGUUUAUGAAGGUGACAACCUAUUACAGUGAUUAGGUUACUUUUAGAUAACAAUAAAUAGAUUACGUUUUUAAGAAUGUUGGUAUGAGAUACAUACCAGAUAUUUCUUUUCCUCUUAGUUUAGAAAGGUGAUAAUAUCUUGUUCACCAAAAUCUUUUGCACUUACAGUAUGUUUGGUACGUGUAUAGUACAUAUAGUGUGCAUAUACCUAGCAUUUUUUUUUUUUUUUUUGCAAUGUGGUGACCUUAUUCUUGAGCUAGUUACUCGUCAUCAACGAUCGUUGCCACUUUGAUAUUUCUUAACUCUUUCCAAGGAAGAUAGCGUUAAAGAGUUCUUUAUACGUGUAAUAAUAUGUUCUCUAGUAAGAUUGGUAGUGUAAAGGUUUAGAAAUACAUGGCGGAUAUGUCCUCUCUAUAUUUACUUACGGAAGAGACGGGUGUGACAAAUACACCCUUGGAGAUUGCAUCUAUAAUAUGAAGUAUAUGCUGGUUGGGUACUUCCAGUCUUGUUUAUGUUUUUCCAUUUAAUAGACAAGUGCUGUCCAUCGUCUUGUAUACAUGCUCCGAGUUGUGUCUAAAUUGUGUUCAAUAAAUAAAGCAUUGCUUCCAUUUCACUAUCAA